ACCUACGGGGGGCAGCAGUGAGGAAUAUUGGUCAAUGGGCGGAAGCCUGAACCAGCCAAGUCGCGUGGGGGAAUAAGGCCCUACGGGUCGUAAACCUCUUUUGCCGGGGAGCAAGGGCCGGGACGCGUCCCGGCCCGGAGAGUACCCGGAGAAAAAGCAUCGGCUAACUCCGUGCCAGCAGCCGCGGUAAUACGGAGGAUGCGCGCGUUAUCCGGAUUUAUUGGGUUUAAAGGGAGCGUAGAUGGGUUGUUAAGUCAGUCGUGAAAGUUUGCGGCUCAACCGUAAAAUUGCAAUUGAUACUGGCA
rnacentral:rRNA from 1 species